UACGAAGGGGGCUAGCGUUGCUCGGAAUUACUGGGCGUAAAGCGCACGUUAGGCGGCGAUUCAAGUUAGAUGUGAAAGGCCUGGGCUCAACCCGGGAACUGCAUUUGAUACUGAAUUGCUAGAGUCCAAGAGAGGGUAGUGGAAUUCCCAGUGUAGAGGUGAAAUUCGUAGAUAUUGGGAAGAACACCAGUGGCGAAGGCGGCUACCUGGCUUGGUACGUGACGCUCAGGUGCGAAAGCGUGGGGAGCGAAGAGG
rnacentral:rRNA from 1 species